rnacentral:rRNA from 1 species
UACGUAGGCAGCAAGCGUUGUUCGGAGUUACUGGGCGUAAAGGGUGCGUAGGCGGUCCUAUAAGUAUGGUGUGAAAUCUCCCCGGCUUAACUGGGAGGGUGCGCUAUAGACUGUGGGACUAGAGUGUGGGAGAGGAAAGUGGAAAUUCCUGGUGUAGCCGGUGAAAUGCGUAGAUAUCAGGAGGAACACCGGUGGUGUAAACGGCUUUCUGGACCAUAACUGACGCUGAGGCACGAAAGCGUGGUAGCAAACAGG